rnacentral:rRNA from 1 species
GGGUUUAGAACGUCGUGAGACAGUUCGGUCCCUAUCUGCCGUGGGCGUUUGAGAAUUGAGAGGAGCUGCUCCUAGUACGAGAGGACCGGAGUGGACGUACCCCUGGUGUUCGGGUUGUUGUGCCAACAGCAUUGCCCGGUAGCUAUGUACGGACGGGAUAACCGCUGAAAGCAUCUAAGCGGGAAGCCCCCCUCAAGAUGAGUUCUCACUGGACUUUAAGUCCCUGAAGGGCCGUUGAAGACUACAACGUUGAUAGGUUGGGUGUGGAAGUGCAGUAAUGUAUGAAGCUAACCAAUACUAAUUGCCCGUGAGGCUUGACCAUAUAACCCCAAG